UGCUGUUCUGUUCAGACCAGAGGAGUUGUAAAUGUAAAAGAAGCUAAUGUGCCUUCUAAAAAUCUAGACAAUUAAGACAAUAAUAU